CCCCUCAGCAGGAAGCUACAGAACUGCAGUGAGGUCUCCCCUCACUCUCCUCCAUCUCAAUAGACCAAGUGCCCUCAGCUGCUCCUCACGCAGCCCCUCCAGGCCCUUCUCCAUCCCCAUGGCCCUCCUUUGCACAUCUCUGACAGUUUCAUGUCAUUUUUAUUCUGUCAGGCCCAGAACUGCACUCACCAUUCCAGGUGAGGCCGCCCCAGCCCAGAGCAGAGCAGGACAAUCCCUCCCUGGCCGGGCCGGCCCUGCUGGGCCCGGUGCCCCAGGACAGGGAUGUCCCUCCUUGCUCCAGGACAUCGCUGGCUCAGACCCAACCUUCUGUCAACCAGGUCCUUUUCCAUAUCACUGUUGUCCAGUGUGUCAUUCCCAGUCUGUCCAUAUAUCCAGGGCUGCCCCAUCUGAGGUACAGCACACAAUAUUUUUCUUUAUCACUGAUUUCCACCCAAUAAUGAAUAUGUCUUUUGCUCAGAGUUUACCGAGGUUCUUCAGAGAUUGUUCAUGACUGACAAAAUGCUGAAUGGCCCUUCAACCAUGUCUGCAUGAACUAUGUCUGGACCUGAGCAUAUCCAAGCAGCCCAAGGGCUGCAACUUGGAGAAAAUAAUGAAAAGAGAACCUGUUGGACACCAGAAAAAGUCCCAACAAAAGGAAUUGAAGAGUGGCCUCUGUCCAAAUUCAAACCUCAUGCACUAAGGAAUUUCUCCAAGCCAGAUGUGAAUAUCCCUGGAAUCCAAACCAUCACCAGCUUGUUGCAGUGCUCUCAAGGAGAGCAGGAGAAGGAAAUGCACAAAGCCAAAGCAGCAUCAAAGUGGCUGGUGCAGAUGAGUGCUGAGCCAUCCCAUUUCUACUCCAGCAGUUUCAGGGAGCUGGGAAAUAUCUCCCUGCACACCUCAGCCUGGAGACACCUGCCCAAAGGAGUACACAGCAGAGUGAAAGGACAAAAUUGAGCUUAAAAGAGGUAAUAUUAAUUUGCUAUCACACUACAUGAGCUAGCUGAGAGACGAG
rnacentral:lncRNA from 1 species